UACGAAAGAGGCUGGCGUUAUUCGGUCAAAUUGGGCGUAAAGGAUUUGUAGGCUGUUUUUCGAAAGUUGAAAAUUAAAUGUCAAAGCUAAACUUUGGAAUAUUUUUCAAAACUGAAUUUCUGGAGUAGUUUCCGGGUCAAUAGUAUUUCUUCAAUAAGGCUCAUAUCUGUUAAUAGAAGAAGGAGUUUUAGGGCGAAGGACAAUUGACUAGGUUCUUACUGACGCUGAAGAAUUAAAGUAUGGGGAG
rnacentral:rRNA from 1 species